rnacentral:rRNA from 1 species
GUGCCAGCAGCCGCGGUAAGACGUAGGAUGCGAGCGUUGUCCGGAAUUAUUGGGCGUAAAGAGUUCGUAGGUGGCAUAUCAAGUCUGGUGUUAAAGACCGGGGCUCAACUCCGGAAGGGCACUGGAUACUGAUAAGCUAGAGUGUAGUAGAGGCAAAGGGAAUUCCUAGUGUAGCGGUGAAAUGCGUAGAUAUUAGGAGGAACACCAGUGGCGAAAGCGCUUUGCUGGACUAUUACUGACACUGAGGAACGAAAGCCAGGGUAGCGAAUGGGAUUAGAAACCCCAGUAGUCC